GACGAACGCUGGCGGCGUGCUUAACACAUGCAAGUCGUGCGGUAAGGCCCUUUCGGGGGUACACGAGCGGCGAACGGGUGAGUAACACGUGAGCAACCUGCCCUUCACUUUGGGAUAACUGCCGGAAACGGUGGCUAAUACCGGAUAUGACUUCCUCACGCAUGUGGGGUGGUGGAAAGCCUUCGGGUGGUUGGGGAUGGGCUCGCGGUCUAUCCGCUUGUUGGUGGGGUGAUGGCCUACCAAGGCUUCGGCGGGUAUCCGGCAUGAGAGGGUGACCGGCCACACUGGGACUGAGAGACGGCCCAGACUCCUACGGGAGGCAGCAGUGGGGAAUAUUGGACAAUGGGCGAAAGCCUGAGCCAGAGACGCCGCGUGAGGGAUGACGGCCUUCGGGUUGUAAACCUCUUUCGCCUGCGACGAAGCGAGAGUGACGGUAGCAGGUAAAGAAGCACCGGCCAACUACGUG
rnacentral:rRNA from 1 species